rnacentral:rRNA from 1 species
UACGAAGGGGGCUAGCGUUGCUCGGAAUCACUGGGCGUAAAGGGUGCGUAGGCGGGUCUUUAAGUCCGGGGUGAAAUCCUGGAGCUCAACUCCAGAACUGCCUUUGAUACUGAAGAUCUUGAGUUCGGGAGAGGUGAGUGGAACUGCGAGUGUAGAGGUGAAAUUCGUAGAUAUUCGCAAGAACGCCAGUGGCGAAGGCGGCUCACUGGCCCGAUACUGACGCUGAGGCACGAAAGCGUGGGGAGCAAACAGG